GCGCGGAGCGGGCUCGGUGCCGCACUGAGGGAGGUGCGUGAGGGACCGGCGGAGCUCGGACGGGGCUCGGAGCGUUUCCCGGCACGAGGAAACCGGGAAGAGCGAGCGGAUGAGCGAGGACAUCCGGAUCCAUUCCUGGCCUUGCUCCUAUUACCUGGACAGCAGCAAACAAUGGAUUCCCGGGAAGCUCUCCCUGACUCCCGUUUCCAUCCGAUUCACGGCUGACAAAAACGGGGAGCUCCUGGUGGAUUUCCGACUUUCCGGGAUCAGCGAAAUCAAGAAGGAAUUUUCCCAUUUCGUCUUCAGCUCCUUGACCAUCCUGGAGAAGAGCAGCAAGCACUGGUUCAGUUCCCUGCAUCCCAACAGGAAUGUGGUUUUCAAUAUCCUGGAGCAUUUCUGGAGGGAGCAGCUGCUCUCCGAGGCCGGGGCGGGAGCGGCGUUGGAAUACGGGAAAGGGAAGGAAUUAACGGGAAUGUUGGAGGGAUCCCAGAAACGCCUGCAGGACACGGCCCAGGUGCUGCAUUCCCAAGGGGAACAGUUCGAUUCCAUCAUGAGGGGACUCCACAAAAUCGAGGGGGACAUGGAUGUGGCCGACAGGCUGUUGACGGAGCUGGAAUCUCCUUCCUGGUGGCCUUUCAGCAUCAAACUCUGGAAAAACCCUUUGGAAGCGAAACCGAAGGAAAACCCCGCUCCUCCCGAUCCCAAAAUCCAGGAAGGAAUCCUGCUGAGAAUUCCCGUCAUCAUCACCCACGGGCCAGAUUCCAACGCCAAACCUGCCAAACUCACCGUGUUUCCAUCCGGCUUGGAAAUCAGGGAUUGCAAUUCCCAACUCCUGCAGCGCUUCCAAUCGCGGGAUGUGGAUGAAAUCCGCGUUCACACUCCGUACGAGAUCAGCAUCCGGCAGAGAUUCAUCGGGAAACCCGACAUUUCCUGCCGCCUGCUGGCCGCGCGCAUGCCCGAGGCCAUUCCCAUCCUGGAGAUGCAGUUCAGCAGGAAAAUCCAGUUCUUGGAGGAUGCGCUGGGAUUUGCCGGAGCUGGGAAAUCUCCCCAGGGGGAUUUCUGGCGGGCAGGCGGCGGAUUCCCGGGAGCGGCGGCGAAUCCCGGAAUUCCGGCGGGAAGCUCCGAAGGGCAGGAGCAGCAGCAGCUGACAAAGGUUUCCCAGGAAGAGGUGAAGGAGAUCCGAGAGAUCCUGCAGCAGCUCAAGGGCCUGGCCCUGGAGACGGAGGCGGAGCUGGAAAGGCAGGACGAGGCCCUGGAUUCCAUCGGCAGCUCCGUGGAUCGCGCCACGCUCGGCAUCGAGCGCCAGAACCGCCGCAUGCGGAGGCUGACGUAACUUCCCGGCCGGAACGGCGACGCCGGGAAGAGCGGGAGGAUGGGGGAGAGCCGGGAUUUUUUGGGAUUUGUUUUUCCAGAGACGCUUUGGGAAGGGCUUUGGGAUGAGGUUUGAAAAUGGCGCUGCUGGGGGUGAGUUCCGGUGAAAAUCGAAACGGCUCCUGGACUUGGAUGAGGUUUGGAUUUUGGAUGGUUGGAACUUGGAUCAUGGUUGGAUCUUGGAUCACGUUUGGAUCUUGGAUGGUCGCAUCCUGGAAGAGGUUGGACCUUGGAUGAGGUUUGGACCUUGGAUGGUUGGAUUUUGGCUGAGGAUGGAUCUUGGAUCAUGGGUGGAUCUUGGAUGAAGUUGGAUCUUGGAUCAUGGAUGGACCUUGGAUGUUUGGAUCUUGGAUAUCGUUUGGAUCUUGGAUCACGUUGGGCCCUUGCUGAGGUCCAGAAGGUUUUUUUGGCUACAAGAAUCCGAAUUUCUGAUGGGGAUGGAGCCGAACCCGCGGAUUCUCCUGGAAAUGGGAAGGGAUGAAACAAAACCAGACUGAUUCCGAAUUAAUUAAUUCACCGCUAAUUAAUUAUCGUCCUUUUGCACUUUGCUGCUUUCCAGGCCGGGAAUUCCCUCUCCAGCUCUUUCCCUAAAAUCCCUUGGAGCCAAUCCUGAUUUUUUUUCAUUUAUUUGCACUCGGUGGUGACGAAAACAUUUUGAGGCUUUUCCAGAAUUCCCAAAAAAAUGGGAAUAUUUUCAGUUCCAGGCUGAAAUUUGCACUUGGUUCUGGUUGAGGGAAGAAAUUGUUGAAAUUCCAGAGGAAAAAUUCUCGUUUCAGCCAUCCAGUGGAAUUUUUAAU